UGGGGAAUUUUGGACAAUUGGGCGAAAGCCUGAUCCAGCAAUGCCGCGUGUGUGAAGAAGGCCUUCGGGUUGUAAAGCACUUUUGUCCGGAAAGAAAUCCUUGGCUCUAAUACAGUCGGGGGAUGACGGUACCGGAAGAAUAAGCACCGGCUAACUACGUGCCAGCAGCCGCGGUAAUACGUAGGGUGCAAGCGUUAAUCGGAAUUACUGGGCGUAAAGCGUGCGCAGGCGGUUUGCUAAGACCGAUGUGAAAUCCCCGGGCUCAACCUGGGAACUGCAUUGGUGACUGGCAGGCUAGAGUAUGGCAGAGGGGGGUAGAAUUCCACGUGUAGCAGUGAAAUGCGUAGAGAUGUGGAGGAAUACCGAUGGCGAAGGCAGCCCCCU
rnacentral:rRNA from 1 species